CAGUAGCCGCGGUAAUACGAAGGGUGCAAGCGUUAAUCGGAAUUACUGGGCGUAAAGCGUGCGUAGGCGGUGAGUUAAGUCUGCUGUGAAAUCCCCGGGCUCGACCUGGGAAUGGCAGUGGAUACUGGCUCGCUAGAGUGUGUCAGAGGAUGGUGGAAUUCCCGGUGUAGCGGUGAAACGCGUAGAGAUCGGGAGGAACAUCAGUGGCGAAGGCGGCCAUCUGGGACAACACUGACGCUGAGGCACGAAAGCGUGGGGAGCAAACAGGAUUAGAUACCCCUGUAGUCCCUGUCUCUUAUAA
rnacentral:rRNA from 1 species